UUGCUUUAUUCCUGCAUUUGAUGGACCUAUACUCUUUGUUCUGUAUAUUUCCAUGACCUUCUCUUUUGCACAAAAUGAUGCAGUACUCUUAUACUUCCAACAAUAUCAUUCAGAACAUAACUUGCUUCCUCAUAUAGCUUUAUUAGUACAUUGCAAUAACCUUAAAAAAUUAUUGCAAUAGAUCUUAAUAACUGCUGCAAUAGCCUAAAAAAAUCGUUGUAGUAGAUCUUAAUAACCGUUGCAAUAGCCUUUUUUACUGUUGUUAUAGUCUCAUAAAAACGCCGCGAUAGUAUUUUUAACCGUUACAAUAGGCCCAAUAGCAGUUGCAUUAACGUAUAUAGCUACGGUUAAGAACCGUUGCAUUUGCCUAAAAUAACUGUUGCAAUAGACUAAUUUAUCGUAACGGCUAUAAGUCCAUUGCCAUAACUGUCUAUCGUAACGGUUUUAAACCGUUGCAAUAGAUCUAUUGGCACCCGACCUGAUAUAACGGGCCCUAAUUGUGGGGGCUAAGUACGCACGAGGUAACGAGAGUCUGUGUGUAGCUACUAUUAUGCUUAUGUCCAGGUAGUUUAGGACCCAAAAAGCAUGCUUUACUUGUAAUAAUGGUAACCUUAUUGACAGUUUAAAUUGCUUUAGUUGCAUCAAAGUGGUAAAUGAUUUUCUAAAAGAGUUAAACUUCAUUUUCUCGGCUUGUAAAAGAGAAAUUGACACUUCCUUGAAUAAUUGUCUCCCUAAUGAAGCGUUGAUUGACUGUUUGAAUGUGUGUUUCUAUGUCUACCUGCGUCGCAUGUAUGAUUCGCAAGCCGGGUGAUUAUUUAUUUAUAUUUGAUCGCAUCGCAUGUAUGAUUCGCGAGCGGGGUAAUAGAUGCAUCUAUGGUUCGCGCCGUUCAACCCUCGGUAGUGCACAUUUUACAUUUAUGUUAGAUCGGGUCAUACGACCUCGGCAUGAUAUGCACAUGCUUAUAUUGCUUGCCUAAGAAUUAUAAAUGUUGAUACUUGCCUUUCCUGGCAAGAGAUAAAUUGAUAAAGAUAAUGAAAAGUAAAUAUUCGAAAAUUCUUUAUUAUUUGAGAAGUUGUUUACCUGCUUUCCGACUGUAUGAGUUUAUUUUUGCUCUAUGAAAUCUAUGAUUUCCUCACAAUUUUACUAUAUUAUCAUUGGACCACGAGUAAGUGUCGAAGUCGACCUCUCGUUUCUUCGAGAUUAGACAUGAUACUCACUAGGUACACGUUGUUUUCGUCCUCAUACUACACUUGUUGUGUAUUUUUGUUGCACAGGUUCAUGUGUGGCUAGUGGCUCAGUGGCAUAGCGGCAUGGUUGAUACAGAGACUUAGGUGAGCUGCAUUUAUCAAAGCGACCCGCAGCCAACAGAGUCUCCUUUAGAGUAUUAUACUGUAUUUUCAUUUCUGUCCACUUUGUAUUCCGAACAGUUACUGUAUUUUAUUGCACUCCCUAGCAAAUGUUUGUGCACUUGUGACACCGAAUUCUGGGAGGGUACCUUGUAUUAACCUCUUAACAUUAUAUUUAAUUUGAAAUGAUUACCUUUUACUAGUAAAUGCGAAAAAAAAAUCAUAGUUUUCAAAAUUAUUAAAAUGAGAAUUUAAUUAAGUAAUUUAAUUGGUUUGCCUGACAGCGGCAUCCGACGCCAUCACAACUCUUAAUAGAUUUUUGGUCGUGACACCAGUAAAUUACUUUUUGCUAAGAAAGAAAACAAAGAAACAACAUUAAACCGUCAAUUCACCUUUUCACAGCGAAUGGUCAAGCAAAGGUCUCUAAAAAAAUUAAAAAUCUACCUUCUUAGACAUUUAAAGUUUACAUGUUGUAACUCAAAAUCUUUGUUCAGAGUGACCUCUGUCAUAUCAGAAUCAUCACUUGAAUUUUAUCUUUUUCCGUGUUUUUUGCGUGGAAUAGCAAAUAUUGUAGCAGCAUCACUCUUGAAUAUACAGGUACCAAUGAGUUUGACUAGGACACAUGGCUUUAGUUGUCAUCAUCAGAGCACAAAAAACUUGUCAGGCUGCGAAUACUACAAAUCAACCACUUAACAAGCUCUAAUUAAAAUCCUUAAAAAAUAUAAUAAGGGGUAUUUAGAUGCACGAAAACAUCCAAAAAUUUUGUUUUGCCAUUUUAAAUAAGAUGAGCUCCCGCGUAAAAAUUGGUUGUUAAACAAAACAAAGACAAAUGGCAGACAAAAUCUUAUCUGCUAAUAAAAAAACUUGCUUUAUUCCUGCAUUUGAUGGACCUAUACUCUUUGUUCUGCAUAUUUUCAUGACCUUCUCUUUUGCACAAAAUGACGCAGCAGUCUUAUACUUCCAACAACAUCAUUCAGAACAUGACUUGCUUCCUCAUAUAGCCUAUGCGAAAAAUAAGAUUAAUCAGCACCAUUAUAAUCAGCACCAUUAUACUCGAAAUAUUAUUGCAACAGUAGCAAAAAAUAACAAAUUAUCUGAGAUAGUAUUAGUAAGCUUUCUAUUUUGGCUAAUCUAUUGAUUUAACUGAUGGUUGAGAACAACUUUCAAGUUCAAGACUUGAUUAUCCAUAUAUUUAAUUUUACCAGCAACUCAAACAAACAUUUAUAUCUGACUGAACCUACAUAUACAUUAAUACCAAGUGUGAUAAGUGCUAACUUUCAACUCACUUCAAAAGCAAUAAAUAAACAUGUGUGCAGAUGAAAUAUCUUGAACCAUUUGAGUAAGUGCAUAUCCUACUAAAGCACGUACUGCAACAGCAUCAGCAGAAAUCCUAAAAGCAAUCAUUAUAUUGAAGCGCUCAGAUUCAUCAAAUCGUCCCACCUCCAUGUGGAACACCUGCUGAAAGCACAUAAAUCUAAUUCUUCUUAUCAGCUUACAACUACCUAUACCAAGAACGGCAUGUCCUUGCUUCAUAGAUAAAGCAUCUCGUAUCAAACUUCUGUAUCAAUUCUAUAAAGACUAAAGUGCUGACAACUUUCAAGUAAGAUAGACAUAUAGCUGUUAUUUCCUUUCGAGUCUAUUGAUGUCGUAUGAACCUAAUGUGAAGCAAGUGAAGAUGCAAUGAUAUUGCAUCGGCAAUACCUCUUCUAUACCAGCCCCCAAAGGCUUAGUCUAAUGGACUUAGGUCACAUGUUCUAACCUUGUGCCAUUUGAACUAAGCCUGAUAUUUAAGUUCCUCGAGUUUCAAAUGAUGCAGUCGUCCUAAGGGUUGGCCGCACACAAAUUUCUAGGUCAUAAAAAAAGACAGAUUUCUUUUAUCAUCAUGUUUUGUUCAUUUAUUCUAUUAUGCCACUAUGAGAUCUUUCAAUUGAAAAAAUCUUUUAUCUAUAGGUUAUAACACAUCAUAAGCUAUGUUGCUCGGACUCUCCGAAAAUGUGGCCGGAUACGUGUCGGAUCCUCCAAAAGUAGUGCAUUUUUGAAGGAUCUGACACGGGUGCAGCUACAUUUUGGAGAGUCCGCGCAAUAUAGAUCAUAAGCAUGUGUAUAUAUAGCUUGGAAACUUGAGCAAACAGAAUCUAGUAUAUAACUCCUUCAAACAACUAUGAUUACACAGCCUACUUAAUUCGCCUCCCAUAAGUAGUUAUAAGUAGAGCAAAUGAGCUUGAACAUUAGUUGCUUAUGCCCUUGUGAAUUGCAUAGGAAAAGAGUCUGUUUGGUAGAUAAAGUUUAUAAGUUUGCUUCAAGUUCUGGACAUAUCUGCAUUGUUAGUUUUGAUUUAAAUUAUGAUGUGGAAUGACUUCGGAGUUAAUUCAUCGAAAAAAUGGUUCGUACCAGGUUGAACUUACUCUGUUAUCUGUUGUCUCUUCCUGAAUAUAAAAGAUUUAAGUACUCCUUCUCUAAAGCCUUAGUUAUUUUUCCUGCUGUCCUUGAAGUUAAUGUUUUAUUUGCCAAUAUGGUCAUUUGACUGUGAUCCUGAUUGGGGUUUCAUCAACGUUAAACACAAAUUCAAUGAAAUGUUGGGUUCACAGAAAUUAAUAACCAUUUCUUAAAUACUUCUUUUAGAAGUGAGUAUCUAAUUAUUAUAGUAUUAUAGUUUUCUUAGCAUAGGAUAUCUACAAAAUCAAAUUGUCCAUUUAGCCUCUUUAAAUACUGAAACCAAUGAAAAAGAUUAAAAAUAUUAGUAAAGUGAAAAAGGUAGAAUAAAGAGAUCUAUUACUCUAACUUUCACAUGGACAUAACUCAGGCAAAAAAAUUAGAUUACACUCUAUAAACUUGAAAUUUAAAUAUAUCAAUAGCUACAUUUUGCUAAUUUUACAAAAUCAGAAAAUAUAGGGUAGAAAGUUCUGCAAACUUGAAUACUUGUUAUUUACCACUAUGAAGCCACCAUACACGAGAGGAAAAAAUAAAAGCUAUCAAAUCAUCUAUGUUUAGAAAUUACAACCAAAUCUAAGUAUAAAAUCCAAAAUAUACUUUUUGAAGAUGAUAGAGCUACAUCAAAAUUUAAAAUUAGAGUUUGGAUAUUAAGAAUUUUCCGACCACGUUAAAUCUGCUGAAUCAACAGAGAUGCAUACAUUCUAUAAUCAGAAAGCCAAAAAAAUCCUGCCGCAUAGACUUUAUUAAACAGAGAGUUGAGACGAAAAAGGAGAAAGGAGGGACACAGAACAUGGGAGAAACAAAGAGAUUCGUUUUCGGCGAAGAGCUCCAAGUCGUCUCUCCUUCCUUUCCUACACUAUUUGGCCUUAUGCCUUACCACCUAACCCUAAAAAUUCAAAUCAGAUUUAUAGAAGAAAAAAAACUUUAAAGGUCAGAUUAAAGAGCAUCACAAAUACACAGCAAGAGAAACAGAACAAGAUUUUGCCAAAACUUCAAAGAGGGGCUACCCAGUGAUUCAGAGUAUCUUUGAGAAGCCAAAGAGAAUCCAUGGGAAAAGAAUUGAAAGAAAAAAACGAAAGAAUAAGUUGCGCUAGCUGCGAAAGAAACGAAGAAAGAUGUGGUGGCUGCAGAAAAGCCACGUAUGUAUACAUUAACAAUCACAAAAAGAUCAAAUCUUUUACAGAUUAAAUCGAUUCAACCACUAAACAAUCACAAAUAAAGAUCAUAACUUUGACAGAUGAAACUUAUCCAAAAUAAAAUACUACUACUACCUCAACCAAGUACCAAGAUUCUCCACACAAUUUAGAUAUGAAAUUAACUUCUAGUAAAUGAAAAAAAAGAGAAAAUUAUGAACUGGGUUGUCAAGAUCAAACCUUUAACAGAUUAAAUUGAUUCAACAAGAGCUAUUACUACAUCAAUCAAACACCAAGAUAUUACUACUGCAUGGUGCUAUAUCUAUAGAACUCCUGAUGCUCGUGACCCAAUUCUAAUGGAAGAAGUAAAUCUUUUCUAUGCACUUUUAUCGGCUACUAAUAAGAUAAUUUCUUUAGCUUAUUAGAAAGUUCAAACCAAGAUCAGAUGUUAAGUUUCAACCUCAAAAGUCUUCUCAAAUGCUCCAUAUGAGAAUAAUAGGCUACUUAAUUAACUGAUUCAUACCAUUUGCUGCAGUAUCUCAGUUCUUAAUUAAACCUAAUAUACUACUAUCUGUGUUCAUUCAUUGCUGCUGCUAACACCAAAAACUAUCAUUCCACUCAUAUGAGAGAACAUAAAGAAUCUUUUGGAAAGACUAUGCAAUAUGAUAUGCGACAGCAGGCAAUAUUUGAAUAAUUUAUUAUUUUUCCUUAUGUCUGCCUUUUUAUAUAGAUGGAUUUGAUUUCUGGAACCUUGACUUGAUAUCUCCUUUUCUAACAUAAAUGAGUAAUCUGGCAAAGAUUGAUAUGGAUAUUCAUUAAAAUAUGGCUGAUAGUUUAGAAGCUCGAUUCAGCUGUUUCACUAACAAUGGCGAGCCAUAACAAAGUUUAAGUUGUUAAAAGUUAACUACAACAAAGAGAGAAAUCCUAACGUCAAGGAGAGCAUAAAAGUUCUCACUCUUACCAAAACUAAAGAUAUCAUACUAAGAAUUGCAUUUCAAAACGUCGGCUUUUAUGUUUCUUCCACUAAUAAGCAAAAUCGAGCGAAUGGUAUCAAAAGCAUUAAAGUAACAAGUUGGUCAGAAAGUUUACCUUCUGAUCAGAAGACUACUGAAUAACACAAUCACAAGAACUACAAUAACAAAGAGAAUAAAUUGAGGGCAAAAUAGUAUCAGCAAUAGAUAAUUCCAACUAAAAUAAAGGAUAAAGCUGAAAAGUUAGUACAUCGUCAGAGUUAACAACCAGUUUGAUGACACCGUCUCUAAUGCUUACAGAAAAAUAAGGCGGCUCGCAAAUAAUUUCAUAAGUAAAAACUUUAAAUUAAGAACUUUUGACACAAUACAGUUUUGCGACUAUCGUUAUAAUAAAUAAAAUUUAGUGAUCAUAUUCACGUGCAGUGUCACUGUUUUACUUUCAAUAAACUUACACCUAGCAAUAAACAAUUAUUAUUAAACAAAAAAGAAAUAACAUAGCUGCAAUUUCUGUUAAUGAAAACAAAAAAAACGAAAAAAUAAGUAUAGUUAAUGGGUUAUCCAUCUUAUCUUGCUAAAGGUAGUGAAAAAAGAAAAAUAGCACAAAACCACACGUACAACAGAAGUCGAAAACACAAAGAACGAAAUCGCCAAUACCUAUACAUAUCUCUCAAGCAACAAAUCCCAAAAUCAAAUAGCAAAUGGAGAAAUCAUUAAAUGAACAAAUCAAAUAAAAGCUAAUGAUCAGAGAAACAAAGAAGCUAAGCAUAAAAAGCAGAAGCAUAACAACAAUCGAGCAAAACGGCUUUAGAUCAAACUUGAAUUUGAACUUCAAAAAAGGAUUAUAACAUGAAUUUUAUUUGUUGUUUCUUGACGCUACACUUUGACUAUGGUGGGUUAUGGUGGAUUAUUGUUAAACACUGCUCUUCAGUGCCACCAUGCCGACAGGAAUUAAAGCAAGUGAAGAAAUUGAAUUUGUUUUCUUGAUUUCAAUUUAUCUCCGAAAAAAAUACCCAAUUUCAUCCAUCAAAACCCUAACUCGAAAAAUCUAUCGUUAAUUCACUCUAUUCUCAUGAAUUUGAAACAAAAAAAGAAGCAAAAACAGAUAGAAAAUAAUAAAAUUGAUGUUAAAGAGCAAGAAAAGCACCUUCAAGUUGAAGAGACGAGGAAGACCGAAGAUAAUCUCAAAACCACUGUAAAUUAUUAUGUGAGGAAAUUGAAUAAAGAACCGCAGGAAUAACCUAAAAGCUACACGUAUGUAUAGGCAGAAAAAGGUCACGUAUAGAGAUCAUGUGAAAUGACCUAAGUGUCCUCAAACU
rnacentral:lncRNA from 1 species